GAGGAGCUGGCUGAAGGAAAAGGCCACGCUCAUGUGCCUGGCCAACAAGGGCUUCCCCUCAGACUGGAGUCUGGCCUGGAAGGUGGACGGCAGCAGCAGCAGCAGCAGCUGGGAGGAGAGCAGGAGCCCCGGGGUGCUGGGGAAGGACGGCAAAUACAGCUGGAGCAGCACCCUGAGGCUCCCUAAAGACCAGUGGGAGAAGGUGGGCUCUGUGACCUGUGAGGCCACCCAGGGCUCCCAGACUCCGCUCUCAGAGACACUGAGGAGAGACCAGUGUUCCCAGUCCUGACCUGACUCACUGGGACUCUGCUACUGGUUUCACUCUGAUACUGAUCUCAGUCUGCUCUCUGCUACUCUCUCUCUCUCUCUCUCUCUCUCUCUCUCUCUCUCUCUCUCUCUCUCUCUCUACAGAUUCAUCACAAUUUGAAAGUUCAUCUUGUGUUGCUUGCAGUAAUGCUGAUAUUCUCUGUAUGUUAAAACAAUAAAGACAAAUGUAUCAACUUAA